GAUCCUGGCUCAGGAUGAACGCUAGCUACAGGCUUAACACAUGCAAGUCGAGGGGCAGCAUGGUCUUAGCUUGCUAAGACUGAUGGCGACCGGCGCACGGGUGAGUAACACGUAUCCAACCUGCCGUCUACUCUUGGACAGCCUUCUGAAGGGAAGAUUAAUACAAGAUGGCAUCAUGAGUCCGCAUGUUCACACGAUUAAAGGUAUUCCGGUAGACGAUGGGGA
rnacentral:rRNA from 1 species